rnacentral:lncRNA from 1 species
UUCUUCUAGUGCUGGAGAUUAACCUGGGACCUUGUGCAUGCUAAGUCUAUGUUCUACCACAGAGGUUUUGCUCACCAGAGUGCAUAAGAGAACAGAAGAAAUGCUGGGCAGCUGUGUAGGAUCCUGGCUUAGAGUUUCUCCCAGAGUACUAGAAUUGAAGCCAAGGAUGCUCUACUACUGAGCUAUAUCCCCAGCCCCAGCCCCAACUUCCUAACUUACCCAUAAUGGUUUUGAACUUGUGAUACUCCUAUGUCAACAUCUCAAAUAGCGAGGACUGCAGAUGGUUCCCUGUUGAUUACAACAAUGAAUGACACACAGUUCACUAAGUCAGCUAAUACACCGAGCUGGAGCCUGACCCACAUUUUCAAAGAACUUGUGUCUAUUUGAUGUGGUGCCUGAAAGCAAGUUCCUCAUCAAUUCUGUAAUUAUGCAGUAAAACAACUUAAAGAAAAAAAAUAGGGUGGAGAAUAUCUAAUGGCCAUGACAUCUUUCACAUGGAAAAAUGGAUACAUCGAAAUUUUAAAACUCAAUUAUUAAUCCAAGGAGCCCUGGACAAAAGGUCUUCAUGAUCUAUGUGGUGAAGAGAUGUCUUAGAAGGUGGCCCAUCACACAUCAUUGGCUCAGCUUCCACAUGAAUCUUUGCUCUGAAGAUGAAUCUAUUCUUAUUCUCCUCUCUUUGUGACCUGGAGUUGUUCCCCUCUUCUAGCAGCAACAUAUAUUGUCUUAUUUAAAAAAAUAAGAGGAAGAGAGACAAAGUGAAGAUGGGGAAGAAGGAAAUUGAAAUUGAAAUGC